UGUAAUGUCUCCCUCAUUCAGUGAUGUCUGUAAUGUCUGUAUGUUAAUCUGAAUCUGAAAUGUUGAUCUUAGUUGAUCACACUGUGUAAUCUGAAAUCUGAUCUUAGUUGUGUCUCACACUAUGUAAUGUUGAUCUUAGUUGUGAAAUCUGAAAUCUGUAUGUUAAUUUUAUUAAUUCUGAAAUCUAAAUCUGAAUCUGAAAUAUGAAUUUGUUUUGUUUGAUCUGAAAAUUGAUUCUGAUUGUUAACCUUGUUUUUUUCUCCUUCUCAUCCUUUCUUUUAUACCUUCCUUUGUAUAAUAAAUUAAUCACCAAUCUGUUAUCUCAGUCAUCUCAAUCAAAACUGGAAAAUGCAGGAGGGGAGAAGUACUUCUUGUAAUACCUGGAUAUGACCUUAAGCCCUACUGGCAAAUGCUACUUCCUUUUUCCUAUGCCAUUGUAUCUGGUGCUGUAGGAUCAUGCUUGGUGUUGUUUGCAAAAUCCCUCUCUAACCUGCUAAGAUUGUCCAUGUCUGGUGGCUAUCAGUUGCAUAGCUGGUUCACAUACUCCAUGCUUUUAUUAUUUCUUAGUACGGCUAGCUUUUGGAUGGCAAGGUUGAAUGAAGGAUUAUCACUCUUCGAUGCAAUACUUAUUGUUCCUAUGUUUCAGAUUGCUUGGACUUUCUUCUCCAUUUGUACAGGAUUUGUAUACUUUUAGGAAUAUCAGGUAUUUGGUGCUCUAAGGACAACAAUGUUCAUAUUAGGAAUAAUUUCUGUAUUCAUAGGCAUUUCUUUGCUGGCACCAGACGAGGCAAAAGGUAUAGUUGUGGGUCAUGGAUAUAGUUGUGGGUCAUGAUUUCUGUAUUCAUAGGCAUUUCUUUCCAUUAGAGCUAUUAGAACUCCAAUAUUAGAGCUCUAAAGCAUUUAUAUCGUCUCCCUCUCAUCUUUCCUAAAAACCAUAGAUCAUAAAUUAUUGCACAAAAAAUACAGAAAAUAAAAAAAAAAUUAAUUUUUAGUGGGCACCCUGUUUUUUUAUUUUUUCGUAAAUUUUUUUUCGUUACACCUGAUUAACUACCAUAUAUAGAGUUAAUUGUAAUCACAUAUUAGUAUUCUUCUCACAAUUCUUUAUGAUGGACCCUCUGCAUGUGAGUUCCUACAAAAUAAAUUUGUGUAUUCUACAAUCCAAGACAGGUAGGAACCCUUUAAGUCCAACCCUUCCCACUCCCAUCAGACAUGAAAAAAUUCCCCAGGUAUAUUACAAUAAGAGUUUAUUACACUAUUUUGGACUACAUUGAAUUCCAUUAUUAUUAUUAUUAUUAUUAUUAUUAUUAUUAUUAUUAUUAUUAUUAUUUUU